AUUGAACGCUGGCGGCAUGCCUUACACAUGCAAGUCGAACGGUAACAGGUCUUCGGAUGCUGACGAGUGGCGAACGGGUGAGUAAUACAUCGGAACGUGCCCGAUCGUGGGGGAUAACGAAGCGAAAGCUUUGCUAAUACCGCAUACGAUCUACGGAUGAAAGCGGGGGACCGCAAGGCCUUGCGCGAACGGAGCGGCCGAUGGCAGAUUAGGUAGUUGGUGGGAUAAAAGCUUACCAAGCCGACGAUCUGUAGCUGGUCUGAGAGGACGACCAGCCACACUGGGACUGAGACACGGCCCAGACUCCUACGGGAGGGAGAAGUGGGGAAUUUUGGACAAUGGGCGAAAGCCUGAUCCAGCCAUGCCGCGUGCAGGAUGAAGGCCUUCGGGUUGUAAACUGCUUUUGUACGGAACGAAAAGACUCUGGUUAAUACCUGGGUCCAUGACGGUACCGUAAGAAUAAGCACCGGCUAACUACGUGCCAGCCGCCGCCGUAA
rnacentral:rRNA from 1 species